rnacentral:rRNA from 1 species
GACGAACGCUGGCGGCGUGCUUAACACAUGCAGGUCGAACGGAAAGGCCCUGCUUUUGUGGGGUGCUCGAGUGGCGAACGGGUGAGUAACACGUGAGUAACCUGCCCUUGACUUUGGGAUAACUUCAGGAAACUGGGGCUAAUACCGGAUAGGAGCUCCUGCUGCAUGGUGGGGGUUGGAAAGUUUCGGCGGUUGGGGAUGGACUCGCGGCUUAUCAGCUUGUUGGUGGGGUAGUGGCUUACCAAGGCUUUGACGGGUAGCCGGCCUGAGAGGGGGACCGGCGACAUGGGGACUGAGAUACGGCCCAGACGCCUACGGGAGGCAGCAGUGGAGAAUAUUGCACAAUGGGCGGAAGCCUGAUGCAGCAACGCCGCGUGCGGGAUGACGGCCUUCGGGUUGUAAACCGCUUUCGCCUGUGACGAAGCGUGAGUGACGGUAAUGGGUAAAGAAGCACCGGCUAACUACGUG